UUCCAGACACAACAGGACUGUUGCACAUAUAAACUCACAGAGACUGUGGCAGCAUGCCAAAGUUCCACAAAGAUUCAAGCUAGAGGGGAGGCUGAACAUAGAUGCCCUACACCUAACUUAAGAGGCUAUCUGCAUUGAUGUCCACUGGUAAGACAGAAAUUAGUGUUCUCCAAUGCAUUGUCACUGGGCAUAUCAACCACAACUGAGACAGAGUAUCAGCUUCACUUCACCAAUGUGGGAUGCUUCUCCAACGUCCUCAUUAUUACUUCCUCUCCUUGGCAUUUACAGUUCCCAGACAGAAGCAUUUAGUCCUCUGAGAGUCUCCAUCCAGAAGCUGACUCAGAGAGAUGCAGAUACCCACAGCCAAACAGUGGACAGAGCUUGGGGACUCUUAUGGAAGAAUAGGAGGAAGAAUUGCUGGCCCUGAAAGGGAUAAGAACUCCAUAGGAAGACCAACAGAGUCAGCUAACCUGGACCCUUCGGGCUUACAGAGACUGCCAUCAACAAAAGAACAUAGAUGGGCUGGACCUAGGCCUCUGUGCUCAUAUAUAGCAGAUGUUUAGCUUGGUCUUCAUGUGAGUCCUAAACAACUGAAACAGGGGCUAUUCCUAAAGCUGUUGCCUGUCUGUGGGAUAUGUUCGGCUAGGUGGGCUGCCUUGUCAGGCCUCAGUGGGAGAGGAAGCUCCUAACCUCAGGGAGACUUGAAGUACCUAGGUGAGGGGAAUAUACUCAGGAGGGGACCCUGCCCACUCAAAGGAGAAAGGAAGUGUGAUGUGGGAGGGGUUGUGGGAGGGGAUUCCUGGGAUACAAGUCAGGGAGUGGGAUGUAGAGUGACUAAGUAAAAAAAUUAAAUUAAAUUAAAUUAAAAUACGAAUUUUACUUUUAAAAAGAAUUUUCUCCUCAUUAGUAAGUUUUGCUUCUUUAUACACAUGAAUUCUUUACAGAGCUGUUUCAAAUAUUUUGUAGCAUUGCUUAUAUGUUUCAGUUAUGAGCCAUAAAGAAUGACUGUAAUAAAAUCACUGUGUAAAAAUAGAUUAGCACUAGUUAAGGAUUCAUUGUCAAACUUUCUAAACUUUCAUUAAAUGUGCAUAUGCACAUAAAAAAUC
ensembl:lincRNA 2810049E08Rik RIKEN cDNA 2810049E08 gene